GUCCACAGGCCUUCACAAAGCCAUAGUUCUACAGCCCCCUCUCCGGUUCCUCAUACACUGGCUGAGCUCUCUGACGCUGUUAGAAAAGCACCUCCAAACUCUCUCUGUGUGUCUUAACAGGCACCUGACCCCAGCUCUGGAUGGGAACAGCAGAAACAGCAUAAACAGCAUGAGCACCUUACUUCACACUUGAUUCUGGCUCAAGUCAACACACAGCUGGCUGUGCUCUUGGUCUCAAAAGCACUAAAAAGAAAUGAGCCAUCAAGCCAUGAAAAGCCAUGGAGGACCCGUGAAUGUCUGUUAUGAAAUGAAAGAAGCCAUUCUGAAAAGGCUACAUUCUAUAUGAUUCCAAGUAUUGCGCUCCAGAAAAAGAAAAACUGUGGAGAC
ensembl:lncRNA